CUCGUGAAAAGUGCAGUCUGCAACAGAGCCGCAGGUCUUUUCCAGUGUCACUUCCCUGCCCAGCACAGUGAGUACUUGAGGACCUACAACUACAGAAACACACACCACAGUGAAUGAAAUCCAGCACCCACUGGGGCCCUAUGUGGAAUAGUUUGGACACCACUGCCCUACACCACCCCUACACCGACGGCAACAAGCUACUUUGUCUACUUUGACCCCGUGCACCUUUGGAAGAACAUCUACAGCAGCUUCCACAACAACGGCUGUAUGGUGCUGCCCAGGACCCUGAGAGGAUGAGGACGGCCUGAUUCUCAAGCCGGAAAGUGCUGGCCAUGUGGGAGAACUACAGGUCUGUCAAGGCCGGCUACAAGUUGACCCAGAAAGUGAUGGCGCGCUCUUCGAUCGAGAAGCAGAGCGUCUGGCUCAUCAUGGCCGUCAUCAACCCCAACAUGUUCGCACGGUCAAGGAGGAACACAGGGACUCACAGGGCCGAUAUCCUGGAGAUGUUCCAGAGGACAAGGGAGACCUGGAGACGCUGUACUUAGCAAAAACAGGUGAAAUAACUAAAAACACUGGUAACUAUAUAGCUGCUACUAGAUUACAUGUUUUCAUACACUGUCGGACUCCCUGCGUGUACUGACGUCAUCAGCAUCUUCACCCCCUUCACCGACAAAUAUAUUGGAGCAUUAUCGCCACCUACUGUUCCGUAGUACGGAAGUCAGUUGCCACCCAGAACUCACUUUUGCGUUGCCAACUGUUAGAACGUUUUCAAGAUUUCCAUUUUGGAAGGUGUUUUCAAAUUUUUGCGUUUUUAGCCCCCCAGAAUGCUGUAAACGAUAAGGGUCUCUGGAAAAGUUUUUAGGUUGUCACCCCUGUUGCUGUGUAAACUGCCCCUGAAUUAAUUAUGCCCAUGGUUAUUUGGAACAAUUCAUAAUUUCAGUAAUUAUGUUCAAGUCAUGAAUAAAAAAAAAAAAAUUUAAAAAUAGAAAAUUGGCCAUGAACUGAGUGUGCGUUACCAUAUACCGGUAUUCUAAACUAUUUGAUUUUACAUUGUUUCGAACCUCAAAACGUCAACCUUUUGAAACUAAUACAAUUUUCAAGUCUUUUUGGAUUAAGUUCAAUUUCAUUAAAACAUUUCAAUGUCCACUAUAAUGAAGUUGCAGAGGAAACAAGAGAAAAUGGGGUUGCAUCUGAUCAGGAGUCAAUAGUUAAAUAAAGACGUCAAACCCAAGCAGACAGAAGCACUGGAUUAACCUCUUUCACUUCAGCCCAGGUGACAGGGUGGAAAUGUCAGGGGCUAUUUCUUAAAAA